rnacentral:rRNA from 1 species
GAUGAACGCUGGCGGCGUGCUUAACACAUGCAAGUCGAACGAUGAUCCCAGCUUGCUGGGGGAUUAGUGGCGAACGGGUGAGUAACACGUGAGUAACCUGCCCUUAACUCUGGGAUAAGCCUGGGAAACUGGGUCUAAUACCGGAUAUGACUCCUCAUCGCAUGGGUGGGGGGUGGAAAGCUUUAUUGUGGUUUUGGAUG